GAGAUACAUUUUAAGUCAAAGAACGUGAAAAAAGGACUUUCCCACAAUAGCUCAGUGUAAGUGGGAAAAUGAGCAUAUGCUAAAGUUUUGGGCUAUCGCCGUGAGCGAGGAGUAAGUUUCUAAAUGCGAUCGAUUCCUUUAUUCGGGGUUCUCUCUGUAACCGCAGCGGUGAUCACUGAUUCACGGAGAAUUUUAAUUCCACUUCGUUACACCAGAGCGACGCUUGGGUCGGAGCGCCGGCCACCGAGCCGGGUAAACCUCCGUCAGGUCCCGGACGCGGGAUCAGACUUCGUUCCGCCGACACGCUCCCGGGGGAGGAGUCAGAGCUGGAAACGGACGUAUUCCGCGGGCAGUCCUGUGUCAACGCCCGGCCACACAUCUGGGCAGACACCGGGCCUCUGAUUGCCCCUCCCCCGGGACUCCCACGUCCGGCUUCCUGACCUCUGACUGAUAACUACCCUGGGCCAGUCCCAGGGCUAAGAAUGCAGGACUGAGAAUCCUCAAGAAUGUACUUUUCACUGUAAGAACUUUUCUUUCGUCUUUGGAACACUUCUGUGUUUUUGCCUAGCUCUGUUCCCAGUGUGUAUAUUCGAAGACCCUUGAAUAAAUCUUUAUCAUUUAUUUCCA